CAGGCAUCAAGGAAAGGCCAUAGGUUCAGAGAAGUUAAGCCGCUGGCUCGAGGUUCCUCAGCUAACACGUGGCAGAGUGGGGCCCUGCCGCGGCGUCUGGCUCUUUCCACUGAGCUGCACUGCCGCUUAGUUGGCCACCCUUUGGAAAGCAGCGCUGGAGAUUUUCCAUCUUGAUAAUGAACCGUGCCUUAUAAAGAAGCUGUUGGCCCAGGGGGAAGAAGGGAAUGGGUGAGGGGAGCUGUGCUCCUCAGAAGCUGCCACUGAUUUUGCCCCUGCCAGCAAAGGGGCUGGCCACCUCCCGACCCCAUCUCCAUUAGUGCCUCCUUGACCGCAAUCCAAUAUCCUGGUGAAGAUCACAGUGAAACCAAAUCUGGUGUCCACCGCCUCGCCUUAAUCCCUGUCUCACUGGAUGCUCCCUGCUCUUUCUGUUCUCAGAAGGCCAGGAAUAUUUGGAAUAUGAUUAAACCUGCCUGCUUUCCUG
ensembl:lncRNA